rnacentral:lncRNA from 1 species
UAUGCCUGCAACUACACCGAAUUAUCCAGGUAUAUGGCCAGCAUCCAGGUGGGAAUACACACGGGGAAAGAACAUAUUUUUUAGUGCAGAGUGUCAUUGAAAUAGACCAAAGAAUCAGCUGUCCUCCUUUGAUAUCAAAGAAGCUUGAGAACCAGAGAAGGAAAUGGGCUUCCCAAAUGUCACACAGCCAGCCAGAGGCAGCUUCAACAUUACAGAAUCUCGUCGGUCGAGCCUUGGUUCCGCCCUCUUGUAGCUGUAGAUUCCACAGUAAAGAAACCAGAAGAUAAACGAGCUUCUAGUGUCUGUUAGGUGGCAUUUCAGACCUCUGCUGAGGUGGAGGGGAACACAGGUGGGUACCUCUGUUAUUU